UGGGGAAUAUUGGUCAAUGGGCGAAAGCCUGAUCCAGCCAUGCCGCGUGUGUGAAGAAGGUCUUCUGAUUGUAAAGCACUUUAUGUCGGGAGGAAGGGCAUUAACCUAAUACGUUGGUGUCUUGACGUUACCGACAGAAUAAGCACCGGCUCACUCUGUGCCAGCAGCCGCGGUAAUACAGAGGGUGCUAGCGUUAAUCGGAAUUACUGGUCGUAAAGCGCGCGUAGGUGGUUCGUUAAGUUGGAGGUGAAAUCCCCGGGCUCAACCUGGGAACUGCAUUCAUAACUGAAGGGCUAGAGUGUGGUGGAGGGUGGUGGAAUUUCCAGGGUAGCGGUGAAAGGCGUAGAUAUAGGAAGGAACACCAGUGGCGAAGGCGACCACCUGGACUGAUACUGACACUGAGGUGCGAAAGCGUGGGGAGCAAACA
rnacentral:rRNA from 1 species